UACGGAGGGGGCUAGCGUUGUUCGGAAUUACUGGGCGUAAAGCGCACGUAGGCGGCUUUGUAGGUUAGAGGUGAAAGCCCGGGGCUCAACUCCGGAAUUGCCUUUAAGACUGCAUCGCUAGAAUUGUGGAGAGGUAAGUGGAAUUCCGAGUGUAGAGGUGAAAUUCGUAGAUAUUCGGAAGAACACCAGUGGCGAAGGCGACUUACUGGACACAUAUUGACGCUGAGGUGCGAAAGCGUGGGGAGCAAACAGG
rnacentral:rRNA from 1 species